UACGUAGGGUGCGAGCGUUGUCCGGAAUUAUUGGGCGUAAAGAGCUCGUAGGCGGUGUGUCACGUCGGCCGUGAAAACCUGCAGCUUAACUGUGGGCGUGCGGUCGAUACGGGCAUCACUGGAGUUCGGCAGGGGAGACUGGAAUUCCUGGUGUAGCGGUGAAAUGCGCAGAUAUCAGGAGGAACACCGGUGGCGAAGGCGGGUCUCUGGGCAACUACUGACGCUGAGGAGCGAAAGCGUGGGGAGCGAACAGG
rnacentral:rRNA from 1 species